rnacentral:rRNA from 1 species
CCUACGGGAGGCAGCAGUAGGGAAUAUUGCUCAAUGGGGGAAACCCUGAAGCAGCAACGCCGCGUGGAGGAUGAAGGUUUUCGGAUUGUAAACUCCUUUUGUUAGAGAAGAUAAUGACGGUAUCUAACGAAUAAGCACCGGCUAACUCCGUGCCAGCAGCCGCGGUAAUACGGCGGGGGCAAGCGUUACUCUGAGUCACUGGGCGUAAAGAGCGCGUAGGCGGGAUAGCAAGUCAGAUGUGAAAUCCUAGGGCUUAACCAGAGAACUGCAUUUGAAACUGUUAUUCUAGAGUAUGGGAGAGGUAGGUGGAAUUCUUGGUGUAGCGGUAAAAUCCGUAGAGAUUAAGAGGAAUACUCAUUGCGAAGGCGACCUGCUAGAACAUAACUGACGCUGAUGCGCGAAAGCGUGGGGAGCAAACAGGAUUAGAUACCCUUGUAGUC